GCAGACUGAAAUCUAAAGGUACUGUCAGUGGUGUUCCUAAUUGGCCACACAGGGUGUUUAGAGGAUAAACACCCAGCCACCCGCCUCGGCUGACAAGCAUCAGCAUGCCAUUUCCUGAAGGGGACUUGAUGGCAUAUUUAGGCGAAAUUCUUUUCUGGACACUUGAUGCUUCCCAGUCCUGUUUCUUGCACUAACAAUGAAUGAAUGAAUCACAAAAAUCCUAGAACUUUAUGCGUUUUCAAGAAGUUGCCUGAAGAAGGAACUUCCUUGUGCGGUACGCCUCAGGAAAAAAGAAGCAGGAGAAAAGCUUUGAGAGGAGAGCAAGUGACGGUGAGAUCGUAAUGGAAGUGGGGUGGAGAGGUGGAGGGUGGAGACCGGUAGGAAGCAAGCAAGGCUUUUUUCACCCGUCCCAGGACACGCGAACGAGAUCAAGCCUCACUGCGGUUCACUAGGGUCUAUGCAGGCCCUCGCACCCCUGCCUACCUCCUCAGAACCCAGCCUCUUGGC
rnacentral:lncRNA from 1 species